rnacentral:rRNA from 1 species
UGAGGAAUUUUCCACAAUGGGCGAAAGCCUGAUGGAGCAAUACCGCGUGUAGGAAGAAGGCCCGUGGGUCGUAAACUACUUUUCUCAGAGAAGAAUAAAUGACGGUAUCUGAGGAAUAAGCUCCGGCUAACUCUGUG